GACGAACGCUGGCGGCGUGCUUAACACAUGCAAGUCGAACGGAAAGGCCCUGCUUUUGUGGGGUGCUCGAGUGGCGAACGGGUGAGUAACACGUGAGUAACCUGCCCUUGACUUUGGGAUAACUUCAGGAAACUGGGGCUAAUACCGGAUAGGAGCUCCUGCUGCAUGGUGGGGGUUGGAAAGUUUCGGCGGUUGGGGAUGGACUCGCGGCUUAUCAGCUUGUUGGUGGGGUAGUGGCUUACCAAGGCUUUGACGGGUAGCCGGCCUGAGAGGGUGACCGGCCACAUUGGGACUGAGAUACGGCCCAGACUCCUACGGGAGGCAGCAGUGGGGAAUAUUGCACAAUGGGCGGAAGCCUGAUGCAGCAACGCCGCGUGCGGGAUGACGGCCUUCGGGUGGUAAACCGCUUCCGCCUGUGACGAAGCGUGAGUGACGGUAAUGGGUAAAGAAGCACCGGCUAACUACGU
rnacentral:rRNA from 1 species